rnacentral:lncRNA from 1 species
GGCGGUCGAGUGCCUCACAGUGUAUCAAGGGUUGGCCACGUUCCUCACUAAUUGUGGCUAUUUGCGCCAUCGUCUCAUGCAAUGUUAUUUGAGAGAUGGCAAAAUAUAUAGUAUGUUUGUCUCCAAUGUGUUGAGACUGAGAAGAUAUUGUACCCGUGAAUUGAUGAAAAUUGAUUGAUUAUAUGUAAUGUUGAUUUCAUGAAAAACACGCUGUGUUGGAGGAACUCAAACAAAACAAGCAUAAAAUCC